ACGUUAGCGGCGGACGGGUGAGUAACACGUGGGUAACCUACCCUAUAACGACUGGGACAACUUCGGGCAAACCGGAGCUAAUACGGAUAAUAUGUUGAACCGCAUGGUUCAAUAGUGAAAGAUGGUUUUGCUAUCACUUAUAGAUGGACCCGCGCCGUAUUAGCUAGUUGGUGAGGUAACGGCUCACCAAGGCAACGAUACGUAGCCGACCUGAGAGGGUGAUCGGCCACACUGGAACUGAGACACGGUCCAGACUCCUACGGGAGGCAGCAGUAGGGAAUCUUCCGCAAUGGGCGAAAGCCUGACGGAGCAACGCCGCGUGAGUGAUGAAGGUCUUAGGAUCGUAAAACUCUGUUAUUAGGGAAGAACAAACGUGUAAGUAACUGUGCACGUCUUGACGGUACCUAAUCAGAAAGCCACGGCUAACUACGUGCCAGCAGCCGCGGUAAUACGUAGGUGGCAAGCGUUAUCCGGAAUUAUUGGGCGUAAAGCGCGCGUAGGCGGUUUUUUAAGUCUGAUGUGAAAGCCCACGGCUCAACCGUGGAGGGUCAUUGGAAACUGGAAAACUUGAGUGCAGAAGAGGAAAGUGGAAUUCCAUGUGUAGCGGUGAAAUGCGCAGAGAUAUGGAGGAACACCAGUGGCGAAGGCGACUUUCUGGUCUGUAACUGACGCUGAUGUGCGAAAGCGUGGGGAUCAAACAGGAUUAGAUACCCUGGUAGUCCACGCCGUAAACGAUGAGUGCUAAGUGUUAGGGGGUUUCCGCCCCUUAGUGCUGCAGCUAACGCAUUAAGCACUCCGCCUGGGGAGUACGACCGCAAGG
rnacentral:rRNA from 1 species